UCGUGUGCACAGAUAUUCUCAGCGACUCUACUGCUAACAGCCGAACACUGUGAAGAAUCCAGGGGCUCACCUAUAGGAGAACAGAUAAACACACCGGUACGGCCACACAACAGGACGCGACCAGCAGUGAGAAGCCACAAACUACCGACAAAUGCCGCCAAGGGGCGGGAUGUUGAAAACACCACACUGACUGAAAGAAGCCAGCCCCAAAAGCGAGUCAAAACAACUUUUAUGAGGGGUGAGGAGACAAAACAGUGCUUCAAGAGCUCUAAACACGCCCAUCAUUCUGGAAGGAACACACUCGGAGUGUAAGGCACAGCAGGAGGUAACAAAUGAAGAAACAGAGGCUCGGACAGGGUUAGUGACUCACGUGGGAUUACACGCUCAGUCAGCGGCCAAGUGAGAAUGAGAGCCAGAGUCCUCCAUUUCCCAAUCCAGAAAACACCCUCCCACACGACCGAGCUCAUCGUUGUGAGCAGGAAAAGAACAUCUGAGGUUGGAGGAACACAGGCUCCCCGAGAAAGCGGCUUCCUGGCAGCUUACCCUCUCUGAGGUUCCUUUUCUGUGUUCAUGAACUGAGAGUGCCGUCCUCCUCACCAAGCAGCUGUGAGGCUCAGACAGGCUAACAAGCACGGGCUCACAAUCCACACUUGGGGCUCAGUGUUUGCUGGCCUCCCCAUCUUUUCCUGGGUCCUACCAUGUCUGGGGCACCACACCACGGGGCCGUGGGGAACCGAACACGACUUUAAGGAGUAUUAAAAGUAUUCAAAAAUCUAUGAAUACAUUUUAAUAGUCGAUUACUCUCAGCCGUGAGGUUUUAGGAGACUGCAUGUAGAUAUAAAUACGCACUGAAAAACUACGGACAUACACACGUCGUAAAGGAAAUCUCAGUUGGAACGGCCUAUGUGGUGAGGUAUAGUGUCGUGAUGAAUGACAAUUAAAAUGUGGAGGUGCAGCAAUGUAAUGGAAACCGAAAUUUAUUUUAAAAAGUAAUUAGCUCAUAAAGAAUGAUAAUGGUCUCCUCUUGGCUUUACAUUCCAUAUUCUCUACCUUCAAUUUUCAUCACCUGUAAUCUGGAAAGAGAGAUUGUGUGGUACUGUCCUUUAUGUUCCCAGCAGUGUCUUACAAACUACUCAGUGCCUAAGAGAUUUAAUAAAUACUUAAAUAUUUUUGACAGGUUAGAGGAGAAAAGUUUAAUAAACUAAUUACUGGAGUGAAUACCAUCGCCUCUUUUUUUGAUUAUCUGGUGACAUAUGCGGGAAGCAUUUUGGAAAAGGCAUUACCACCUAAUGUCACUUUUAAAAAGGCUUACUUGGGGGACAGAUGAAUAAAAAGCUUUUGUGACUUUUUAAAAUGGCAUAUAGAUCAGACCAAAUGGUUUCUGGAUAAGU